rnacentral:rRNA from 1 species
GAAUGAGCCUGCGAGUUAGUGAUGCGUGGCGAGGUUAACCCGUGGUGGGGGAGUCGUAGCGAAAGCGAGUCCGAUAAGGGCGUGAGUCGCGUGUUCUAGACCCGAAGCGGUGUGAUCUAUCCAUGGCCAGGAUGAAGCGUCGGUAAGACGUCGUGGAGGUCCGAACCCACUUCAGUUAAAAAUGGAGGGGAUGAGUUGUGGAUAGGGGUGAAAGGCCAAUCAAACACCGUGAUAGCUGGUUCUCCCCGAA